GGAGUUUGGUCCGUGUCUCAGUACCAAUGUGGGGGACCUUCCUCUCAGAACCCCUACUGAUCGUCGGCUAGGUGGGCCGUUACCCCGCCUACUACCUAAUCAGACGCAUCCCCAUCCCAUAGCGAUAAAUCUUUGGUAUUGCUCAGAUGUCCUCAUAAUACAACAUAGGGCAUUAAUCCGACUUUCGCCGGGCUAUUCCCUACUAUGGGGAAGGUUGGAUACGCGUUACUCACCCAUUCGCCGGUCGCCAUCAGAGACAGCAAGCUGCCUCCAUGAUGCCCCUCGACUUGCAUGUGUUAAGCCUGUAGCUAGCGUUCAUC
rnacentral:rRNA from 1 species